UACGGGGGGAGCAAGCGUUGUUCGGAUUUACUGGGCGUAAAGGGCGCGUAGGCGGCCACCGCAAGUCGACUGUGAAAUCUCCGGGCUUAACCCGGAAAGGUCAGCCGAUACUGCGGGGCUAGAGUGCAGAAGGGGCAACUGGAAUUCUCGGUGUAGCGGUGAAAUGCGUAGAUAUCGAGAGGAACACCUGCGGCGAAGGCGGUUCUCUGGGCAUGUCCUGACGCUGAGGAGCGAAAGUGUGGGGAGCGAACAGG
rnacentral:rRNA from 1 species